GGAGCCGUCCGGCGCAGCAGUUUCUAGGUCCCCCCUGUUCCCGCCGUCCCGCCCUUCGCGUCCCGGGAACCGGCUGGCUUCCGAGCCGCACUCGCCGAUCCUCCAGGCAUGCCCCGCUACGAGCUGGCUUUAAUCGUGAAAGCCAUGCAGCGGCCAGAGACUGCUGCUGCUUUGAAACGUACGAUAGAGGCCCUGAUGGACAGAGGAGCAGUAGUGAGGGACUUGGAAAACCUGGGUGAACGAGUGCUUCCUUAUAGGAUGUCUGCCCACAGUCAGCAGCACAACAGAGGCGGUUGCAAGUGGAUGGCAAGCUUCCUUGUGACUUCUCAUCCUGGCAAUUUUCUGGAGUGUUUGUGAUUGGACUUUAACAUUUCCAAAAUGUGGCGACAGUGACUGUUAAGUCUUCCUGAGACGAGAGUUCCUGGGAGCCUCAGGGCUGCAAGCAUCAGGACAGCAGAGACCAGAUUCAUCACUGAAUCCUCAACAUCUAGCACAAUAUUCCUGGCAUAUGAUAUAUCAAGGUGUACAGACUAUAUUUUUGUUGAUUUGUAGUUUAACUGCAUUGUGGUAAUAGAACCCAGUCUGUAUAAAGCUGAUAUUUAAAAAUUUGGUGGGACUUCUUUUGUGACCGAGCACAUG
rnacentral:sRNA from 1 species